GCCCGCUUGGCUCAGCGGUAGAGCGCCUCACUAGUACCAAACAGUAACUAGAUCAUGAGGAGGCGACUGGUUCGACUCCAGUAGUGGGCA
rnacentral:tRNA from 1 species